rnacentral:rRNA from 1 species
UACGUAGGGACCGAGCGUUGUCCGGAAUCAUUGGGCGUAAAGAGCGUGUAGGCGGCCUUUUAAGUCCUGCGUGAAAUCCUGCGGCUCAACCGCAGACGGUCGUGGGAAACUGGAAGGCUAGAGUGCGGGAGAGGAGAGUGGAAUUCCCGGUGUAGCGGUGAAAUGCGCAGAUAUCAGGAGGAACACCGAUGGCGAAGGCAGGUCUCUGGGCAUUAACUGACGCUGAGGAGCGAAAGCAUGGGGAGCGAACAGG